UGAAAGGUGAGAAAGGUCAUUCACCUAUGUAGGCCCCACUGUCCUACUACAGAAAGAAGACAAUACCCCAGCUCUUCAACGCAUGUUAGAAGAAGCACGUCCAAGGUUCAGACUGAUAGCCAGGACAGCCAAUCAUCACACUGCUACUGCUUCCCCCUGAUUGUCCCACCCCAGGCUCUCCGUCAUUUGUACUUACAAAUGUCUCCCUGUGUCACACAUGUAUACGAGUCCAUCUGGUCCCAGAAGAGAUGGAGGGAGGCAGACUCCUUUGUUUAAUGAGGAAGUUGUCAUUCACAACCUUGGAUAGCCCCAGUUUGACAGAGAGGUGGACCCCAGCAUCAGGGAGCCUCUGGGUUGAUGAAAGAAACCCAGUUUGCUGCUCUGAUCAAAGACUUUUAGAGAACCUGCUGAUGGCGUCAAGUGGGCAGGUCAGCAUGUGAAAAUAAGCAAGAGCUGGGAGACACGGAGACGUCCUACGGCUUCGUGCGGAGGCCAAGGCUGCAGGACAGCAGCGCGGAGGAGCACAAUAGGAAAACUUGACCUGUCAAAAGCUUAUCAGAGCAAAAUGCUGAAUAACGAGAGAGAGAGAGAGAGAGAGAGAGAGAGAGAGAGAGAGAGAGAGAGAGAGAGAGCACUGAACAGCAUUUGAGUAAGCCGGUGGGGGUAGGGAAGAUUGUUCAGCGGCAGACAGCCACUUAUGUUCACUUUCUUGCCCUUAAAGCCCCAGAGAAUGUGACUUCCGGUUAUGAGUCUUUGCCUUUAACGGCAAAGCCAUCUUUCCAGCCUAGAAUGUGUGACUUUUGAAAGGCAUGAGCUCCUUCAAAGGAACGAAAGGAGUUAGUUCAUCAGCAGAAGAAUUUCAGGCCAUUUCCAGAAAACUUAGAUCAGACCGAAGGGAAUCCGAUGACAAGGCAGAACAGGAUCCUGGCCUGGGACCUUCCUGAAAAGAGCUCCAGCCGCCCCACGGGCCAGAUCCUAAGGAGACGCUGAGGGAAUCGAGACGCAGGGGAUUAAUUCGAAUCUGCGCACAGAAUGGUGAACGCACUAAAUCCGUGGCAGAACGGGAAAGAGUAGGCAGAGGAGCGAGCAGGGCGGGGAGGGAGGGGAAAUGUCACGUCCCAGCAUAAAAGGAACAACAACACAAAAGCCCAAUAUCCGUACACUUCCGGAGCCACAGCAAGGUGGCCAGCGCAUUCGGGCACCAGUGAGCACAGAGCCCCUGUUGACCCUCGGUCCCUGGAGUCAGAUGGUCCUGACUCCCAGACACCGAGGAAAGCCUGCGACUUGAAAGAAGAACUAGAUCCUCAUCCGUCACAGCCCCGGAGGAUGGCAGAAGAUGAGAUCAUGUUGACUGGAUUGAGACGAGCGCCCUGGAAAACAGGAACACCCACCUCUGGAUGUGUCUCUGAAGGCGAUGAAACCGCACACCGUGUGCUAAGCGAUGCUCUGGAUGCUAGAGGGGAGACAUCAGGCAGAACUCUGAGGUGCUAGCAUGGAGCUGCCAGCAUUCUAACCGGAAGAGGGAUAGAGAGUGAUGGAGAAUUGGUGAGUAUAGAUCGCCCAGAGCUCAUCCACCUUUCGAGAGGUAACAAUGACAUUUAAACCAAAAUCAGAAGGAAAAGGAAGUGCCAAUCUUGCAAAGAUCCAAGUGGUAGGAGCGGCCUUCCAGUACAGAAGUUCCAAAUAAGAGGUGAGAUGCUUUACUGUGGCCGCCUCUAGGACAUGGCUAAGUUGGGAGAGUCCUUGGCUAGCACUCACAAAGCCCUAGGUUAAGUUCCCAGUACCACCUUAAAGAACUAGAGGAUCGGAUGUUCAAGAUCACCCUUAGCUACAUGGUGAGUUCAAGGCCAGACUGUCUCAAAAAACAAAAUGGACAGAAAACCCUUUUAGGACUGACUUUAGUAGGUAAAAGAGGGUGAGAAGACAUAACGAAAUGAAACAGGAGACAGAGCCCAGACCACUAUGAGUUUGUAAACUGUCAUGGGGAAUUUAGAUGUCAUUAGAAGCUUGACAUGAACUUUGGACAUGUAAAUUAGAGAGGGGUUUACCCUGACCUAUGUUUUCACACUUCCUGCUUGGAAUGGCUUAAGGCUAGUUACCUCAUAUCAAUUUAGUUAUCAGGUAAAUAGACUGAGGCAAGCUUGCAAAGAUGGCCUCCUGCUAUCCAUGCUUGAGACAUACCUGUCUGUUGUGACCCUGGGCUGGCCACAGGACUUGGUUUGGCUGGUGGGGUAAUAACAAGCAUUGAGAGACUUUAAAUCACUUGGGGCUUUCUCCUCUUGAGAAACUUGCAACCACCAUGUUAUGAGCAAGCCCAGGCUAGCCCGCUGCAUAAUGAGAAGCACACAGACAAGUAUUCUCUGUUGACACAGGGCCAACCAGCAGACAAGCGUGAGGCAUCCCAAACCAUUCCAAUCUGCCUACCUUACCCUACAGUAAGAAAUGAUAUCUCGUUACUCUAACUCCAAACAUUUUAAAACAAUUUUCAUAUUUAUUUGCUUCUCUAUUGUGUUUGUACAUACACAUAUUUUCAUACUACAGUAUAUAUGUAGACGUCAGAGGAUAACUCGGAGGAGUCGAUAAUCUCCUUCUGCCAUGGAGGCCCUGGGAAUUAAACUCAAGUCUUGAGGCUUGGCAGCAAACACCCUUACCUACUAAGCCGUCUCACUAGCCCUAAGUCAGCACAUUUUCAGAUGGUGUGUUACACAGCGAAAGCUAGCUGCUACAGAAACACAAAUGAGUUAGUUUGCUUUGGAUGUUUCUCAAGGACACCCUGGCUCCUUCUUGCCAAUGGUAAAUGUCCCUCUUUUCCUGUUAAUAGCUCACAUCUAUGAUUCUUCUUCCUGAGUAUUACUCACUAACCCUAGAAGGAGAAAAACUUGAGUUCCCCAGUCAAGAUCAGAGCUGUUCAUCAAUAGUGGAUGCAUGAACUCAAAAUAGCAUAAGAUACGAAGACAGGGCAUCUGAACUGCAAGUACUGGGCUGGGUGGACAAGAGUGUGACACCGGGGAACCAUCGCCAUCAGCAACUUGGCUCUGAACUCUGUCCUACCCAACGGCUCUUCUCUCUGCGCGGGAUCCACUGCGCAACUGCCAGUCCGUGAGUCAGAAAAGUUUACAACUUCCUUCCUCAAAAGGCUCCAAAAUAAACAGAGUAAACACCAGUUGGUCUCAGCUGGUUGCACGUUGGCCUGCCUGGAGGAGGGGAAUGCCAGAGACAGCUUCUGGAGGCCGCUCGCUCACAGCCCUGCACUUCUAGGAAAUAGACAAUUACCAUCAACAUGGAUUUUAUUAUCGUGACAUCGCUAAGGUCUUUGCAUAAAGCCUAUAUUUAAAAAUAUAAACAUGUAAGUGAAAAAAAAUGUCAGGGGAAUAAAUAUUUGUCUUAAAAGAGA
rnacentral:sRNA from 1 species